AGAGAGGCACACCCCUGUGAGGCAGUUAGGGCCAGGACCCAGGUCUGAUCCCCCGCUUGGGUCCCUGGGCCUGGCUCCAUCUCUAGAAACCAACAAUGGAGGGGACCAAGGAAAUCAAGGUCUCAAAUAGAAGAAUACAGGAGCACUGGACAGGGGCCGUGCUUUUCCUGCUGGUGACUGUCAUUGUCAAUAUCAAGUUGAUCCUGGACACUCGGCGAGCCAUCAGUGAAGCCAAUGAAGACCCAGAGCCAGAGCAAGACUAUGAUGAGGCCCUAGGCCGCCUGGAGCCCCCACGGCGCAGAGGCAGUGGUCCCCGGCGGGUCCUGGACGUAGAGGUGUAUUCAAGUCGCAGCAAAGUAUAUGUGGCAGUGGAUGGCACCACGGUC
rnacentral:lncRNA from 1 species